GGUUUAACAUGCAUUAUUUGGAAUUCUGGUGAAUUUGAAAGUUGUGUAAAAGAAGAAACAAUCAAUGUGUUCCUGAUUCAGCCAAAUCUCUGCUCCAGAUUUAGUGACCUUGACAUGAAAAUUACUGAACUUGCUUUUAUCCUGGUUCUGGUCCUUCUGGAGGUUUUAAAGUUUUUAGUUACUUUUAGGGCUCUGUUUGGUUAGCUUCUUAUAAUUCGCGCGUUUUUUUAGUUUUUAAUUUUUAAUCAUGUGCUUUCUGCUAGGGGAAAAAAACUUUGACAAG
rnacentral:misc_RNA from 1 species